AUAGUUAAUUUGCAGCUGCAGUUUCUUCCUUCUACUACCAUACAGCAUACACAGAUGGUCCAGGAGCUGGGGGAAAUUCUGCAGCAGAAAAGCAGAGGAAAUGUGGGGAUGGAAGCUGACUUUGUCCAUCCAGUACCAGCCAGAAGCACACAGGCUGACACACAACAUCUCCAGCAUGUGUGAGGCUUACCCCUCCAGGUGCCCUCUCCGUGCAACAGGCCUGCUGUUAUCCUUGCAGCCACACUGGGACUUGAUUUCACAGGGAAAAAGAAUUUGGGUGUGAGCAGAAGGCACCACUGAAGUGAAGUACACAGGAGAGGUGAGAAGUCAUUGAGACUCAAAACAGGAAAUUAACACCCUGCGGUGCGGCGGCAGAGCCUCAGAGGAAGCAGCAGCGGGCUACAUGAGGCCGAGGAUGAACAAAGCCCCAUAAACAUAACGUCACCCAUAAAAGUCACACUUGAAGGCACAGGAAGGAUACUGAACAACACUUGGCUGCAUUACACACUUGCAGUGAAAAGAAAGCCUCGGGUUGAGAGGCAGAACAUUUGCAAGGCACUUAUUUUUCGAAAUACUCGCCGCGGCUUUUAUUUUGAGCGAGGCACUUCAAAGUUCGGUAUAGGAAAUACCCAAGAAGCUCACAAAUGUUGCCUUUCCACUCGACACGUGGCUCAGGGCUGAGAUAUUGCUUUUUAUCUAUCUCCCUGUUUAUUUGGGUUGUUUCCUCUUCGUAAGGGGUUCCACUUUUCUGCAGGCAGCUGGAUGGAUUUCCACUGUUACCAUGGCAUUGCUGACCUUUAACAUGGGGCUGUUAACACGACCUUUGCUUCUUUCCAUUCCUACAAGGAUGUUUCAGUGUAAAUAAUGUGGAAGCCAAACAGCACCAGGAGAUUCCUCCUCUGGGAGUUGGGAAUGCAGCUCGCUCAGCUAGGAGAGGAACAGGGCAAGAGCUGCAAGCUCGUAGCUGACAGCUAAUGGCAACAAAAAACUGUCUCAAACAGAACUCUUCUGCCCCUAAGAGAUGCCUGGCAACAACUUUUACAAUACUUAACACUACCUGUGAUCUGCCCUCUCUUGAAAGCAGAGGACAGGGCCGACCAUAAGCAGCUGCAGGAGCCCAAGGGCAGACUCUGCAGGGCGGAGUGGGGUAACAGAGCCUUAGGAUGAAGAAAUAUUGGCAAUAUUGCUUAAGAUGGCUAUUGUAACUCCUAACAUUUUUAAAGCCUGAAAGGCUGUCACAAACAGAGGGGAAGUUCACUUUUUAAGAAAAACAUACAUUUUACAGAAUUUCAAUUAAAACAACACCAGAAACCACCUAAAUCACUAUUUAAAAAAAAAAAGAGGAAAACCCUCUGUUGUAGCCUUUAUCUAAUAUAUUCUUUGCCUCAAGCAACUCUUAACAUAGUUAUAUAAAUUCUAUUAACUUAAAUGAAAGGAAAAUCCAAAGUUUCAUGGGGCAGUAGAAAUUGCUGCUGCAAAUUAGACCAGUCUGCAGCCUACUGUACUGAGGGGAACUUUAAAAGAUUUCUGCCAGACUCCUCAGGCAUGAAGUGAUAUUUUGAACAUUGUAACAGUGGCUAGAAGCUUCAGGAAAAGGUGUGCAUUAUUGGGAAAAAGUUUUGUUCACAGUGGGAGUUUCCUCUAAUCCUGCAAAGAUUUAGAAUUAAUUUUUCAAGAGAGACCAAAUAAUACCCUAAAUUCCACUAAAAUUCGAUAGGAUUUAUGUGCCUAACAUCCUAAGUCCUAAGCUUUUAUGUUGGGCUUAUGCAGUAGAGCAUGAGAGGGAGAUAUUUCAUAUAUAACUCCAAUAGUUCAGAUUAUAGUCAAAUAAUCCAAACCACCUGUGGAUCACUGCAGUCAAAAAAUUGUAGAGGGAGGGUUUUUUUUUUUUUUCCCCUCUUUUCUGAUUUUUAAAGCGGGAUUUCCAGUUCCUUUAGGAUUGGAGCAGACUCUGAAAAGCACAACUGCUGAGUGAGUGCCAGAGCAGCCCCAGGGCUGUGCUGGUGCUCGGGCUGCUCCCAGAGGCACCCCGUGAGCAGCUGAGCCCCGUGCUCAUGCAGAGACAGCACAGCUGCAGAGCUCCCUGGGCCUGGGCAAUCCCCAGCCAGGAAAAGCAGUCAGCUUGGAGUUCUUCAAGCUGCUGGAGCAGCACAUGGGUGCUAGAUCAGCUUUGGGUAUGGUGUCUCAGAAUUUCCAGUACUAACACAAAAUAUGCUACAGAGUUCGAAUCACUUCACUGACUUUGUAGAGAUUGUCUAGAAGUGACUUAAGAUGAUUUAAAAAAAAAAGAUAAAAUCAAAUUACUAAUAUAAAUCAGUAGCAUUUUAAGGGGGUACUUCUUGUGGAUUCCUAAUGACUUUUUUUUAAACACACAGGACUAAAAUACUAAAGAUAAGGUCACUUGAAAUGUCAUCUGAACCCUGGCAGCUUGAACACGUGGUUUCUCAAACACUGGUUUCAGAUAAAACUGUGUUCUUUCAGAUACUGAUGCAAAAAUCUGAGCGAGAAAAGUACCAAAAUAAAUUUAAAAGCCUUCCACUAGCAAACAGGAAGCUAGAGCAGCACCAAGAAGUUAUGCUGUUCACUGGGGAUCCGUUCAAAUCAGAUGCUGUUGAAGAGAUUCAACCCAAACGAGGAUGCCAUGAAGACAAGUUUAAAUACAUGUCACAGAUUCAAGUGGAACCUAAAAUUAGUACAGAGUGUUUUGUCUCCUCUCUCUAUAUUGCUGUCCUAUGUAAUGAGAUCAUCUUGUUGUUAGAGCCAAAUGCUCUCUUUCACUGCUGUUGCUAUGAGAGGCUGACAGAAGCUGCCAAGACCUCUCGCGAGGCAUUUUAAAUGAAAAUCUAUAUAAAUUUUUAACUGUCUUUUUUAUCACCAUACAAUGUCUUACAGAGUUAAGAUUCUGAUAUGGCAAUUAUUUACCUUGCAAAACCAGUUAAGCUGUGCCUGAUUUCACAGCAUAUAGCUGAUAAGUGGGUACAUAUAAUGUUAGUAAUAUUUGUUUGAGUGGAAAACCUGAGAUGGGAGUUGGUUGCUAUGGGCUUUUGAGGCACUUAUAUAAAAAUUAAAAUUGGAAUAGGCUCAAAGA